CGUGUAGGCGGCCUCUUAAGUCUGAUGUGAAAGCCCGGGGCUUACCCCCGGAAGAGCAUUGGAAACUGGGAAGCUAGAGUACCGGAGAGGAAGGUGGAAUUCCUGGUGUAGCGGUGAAAUGCGUAGAUAUCAGGAGGAACACCGGUGGCGAAGGCGGCCUUCUGGACGGAUACUGACGCUGAGACGCGAAAGCAUGGGGAGCAAACAGGAUUAGAUACCCUGGUAGUCCACGCCGUAAACGAUGGGCACUAGGUGUUCGGGGUAUUGACCCCCUGAGUGCCGCAGCUAACGCAUUAAGUGCCCCGCUGGGACUACGGCCGCAAGGUUAAA
rnacentral:rRNA from 1 species